AACGAACGCUGGCGGCAGGCCUAAAACAUGCAAGUCGAGCGGGCAUAGCAAUAUGUCAGCGGCGGACGGGUGAAUAACACGUGGGAACAUGCCCUUUGGUACGGAACAACUCAGGGAAACUUGAGCUAAUACCGUAUGUGCCGGUAACGGGAAAGAUUUAUCGCCAAAGGAUUGGCCCGCGUCCGAUUAGCUAGUUGGUGAGGUAACGGCUCACCAAGGCGACGAUCGGUAGCUGGUUUGAGAGAACGAUCAGCCACACUGGGACUGAGACACGGCCCAGACUCCUACGGGAGGCAGCAGUUGGGAAUCUUGGACAAUGGGGGAA
rnacentral:rRNA from 1 species